rnacentral:rRNA from 1 species
GACGAACGCUGGCGGCGUGCCUAAUACAUGCAAGUCGAACGCACAGUUUAUACCGUAGCUUGCUCCACCAUAGACUGUGAGUUGCGAACGGGUGAGUAACGCGUAGGUAACCUGCCUGGUAGCGGGGGAUAACUAUUGGAAACGAUAGCUAAUACCGCAUAAUAUUGAUUAUUGCAUGAUAAUUGAUUGAAAGAUGCUAUUGCAUCACUACCAGAUGGACCUGCGUUGUAUUAGCUAGUAGGUGAGGUAACGGCUCACCUAGGCGACGAUACAUAGCCGACCUGAGAGGGUGAUCGGCCACACUGGGACUGAGACACGGCCCAGACGCCUACGGGAGGCAGCAGUAGGGAAUCUUCGGCAAUGGACGAAAGUCUGACCGAGCAACGCCGCGUGAGUGAAGAAGGUUUUCGGAUCGUAAAGCUCGGUUGUAAGAGAAGAACGGGUGUGAGAGUGGAAAGUUCACACUGUGACGGUAGCUGACCAGAAAGGGACGGCUAACUACGUG